rnacentral:rRNA from 1 species
GGACGAACGCUGGCGGCGUGCUUAACACAUGCAAGUCGAACGGAAAGGCCCUGCUUUUGUGGGGUGCUCGAGUGGCGAACGGGUGAGUAACACGUGAGUAACCUGCCCUUGACUUUGGGAUAACUUCAGGAAACUGGGGCUAAUACCGGAUAGGAGCUCCUGCUGCAUGGUGGGGGUUGGAAAGUUUCGGCGGUUGGGGAUGGACUCGCGGCUUAUCAGCUUGUUGGUGGGGUAGUGGCUUACCAAGGCUUUGACGGGUAGCCGGCCUGAGAGGGUGACCGGCCACAUUGGGACUGAGAUACGGUCCAGACUCCUACGGGAGGCAGCAGUGGGGAAUAUUGCACAAUGGGCGGAAGCCUGAUGCAGCAACGCCGCGUGCGGGAUGACGGCCUUCGGGUUGUAAACCGCUUUCGCCUGUGACGAAGCGUGAGUGACGGUAAUGGGUAAAGAAGCACCGGCUAACUACGUG